rnacentral:snRNA from 1 species
AGGCCCGCUGUAAAUCGCGGGUU